GGCGGGGUCUCGGGCAGGGGCGGGGAGCUUACCGACCUCCCGCCCCCGCUGCGCGCGUUUCUGGCCCUGCCAGUGUCUCCGCCGGUUGAAAGCGCGUGUCUGCGUCGGGUUCUGUUGGAGUGCGUUCGGUGCGCCGUGGGUCCGCGCUGCUUCCACCCAACUUCCUGUUAGUUUCCAUCAUUAUCUUCUAUGGAGUUCUUCAUUCCCACAUCUGUGGACCUUAAAAUCCUACCGUUGAGUGCCUGCCUUGGAUCAGCAGUCAGUUCGUUACCUUGGUUCUCAGACGAUGCUUGCAACAACGCCAUGCGAUUCGCCCACUCUUGGGUUACAUUAGUUAUACACUCUGGAGGUGACUUGACCUGUCAUUGUGAACAAUUAUUGCUCUUGGACGACCCAGGACAUAGGCCAGCCAGUACGUACCCCAGUGUGUUGGAGAAUCGCGCUCGGCUUCUUCCUCUGUGCUGAGUCAUGAAAGUUGCCGGAGCAGGUGCAGUUACACAACCUCCAGGUAUGAUCCUGUUUAAGGACUGGAUUUAGGAUAACUACUUAGAGGUUAAAAGUCACAAGGGUGUAUGGAUGAGGCUGGAGUGAUCUGGGACCAAAGACAUCUAGGCUUGCUGUCAAGGCUUCUGAUCAACAUGAGAUGACCGCCGUGUGGUAAACUGAUGAACCCUGACCCUGAUCAACAUGAGAUGACCGCCGUGUGGUAAACUGAUGAACCCCGACCCUGAUGAACGUGAGAUGACCGCCGUGUGGUAAACUGAUGAACCCCGACCCUGAUGAACGUGAGAUGACCGCCGUGUGGUAAACUGAUGAACCCCGACCCUGAUGAACGUGAGAUGACCGCCGUGUGGUAAACUGAUGAACCCCGACCCUGAUGAACGUGAGAUGACCGCCGUGUGGUAAACUGAUGAACCCCGACCCUGAUCAACGUGAGAUGACCGCCGUGUGGUAAACUGAUGAACCCCGACCCUGAUGAACAUGAGAUGACCGCCGUGUGGUAAACUGAUGAACCCCGACCCUGAUCAACAUGAGAUGACCGCCGUGUGGUAAACUGAUGAACCCCGACCCUGAUCAACAUGAGAUGACUGCCGUGUGGUAAACUGAUGAACCCUGACCCAUUAGGCUUUGGCUACAGAAUGUGGAAAUAAGUUGUGUUACUACAUGUGUGUAAUCCUAGGGUGCAGGACACCGGCCGGGAGGUUCCAUAGAGUGAUGGGUUCUGCAGGUAACUCAUCCUCUAGUCCUCUGUAAGCUCCUAGAAGGAAGAAAUUAUGUCCUUUAGACUAAUAAAAUUCCUCCAAACCAAAUACAGCACCUACUGUGAAGACACAAAGAUACUUUUAGAAUAGUAAAAACUUUAUCCAUUGAGAAAUUCCUUAAUGAAACAGUAUCCAAGAAGUCAUUUGCCAGCAGAUUUCUUAGAGGUGCGAUAAAGAAGAGGACAUUGCCAGUCGUCACAGCAGCUGCAAUAGCUCCUCUCUAUUGUUAAACAGUGGGAUAUCUUGUGCAGGUUUUCAGUUGACAAUCAAUUUUAAAGAUUAGUUUCGGUCCCCAUCAAUCAAUUAUUUAUUAACCCAUCAAUAAAAAUUUAAAUGCUCUGUGAGGUACAAUAGCUAUUAAAAGAGACAGAGGCACUUUCUGUGUCCAGAGGGGCUUUUAGUCUGCUCUGGAAAGCAAGAUGCGUGCAGAUGAGUGACGCAGUGCAUCGUGUGGAUGCAAAGGGAGGGACUCACAUGGGAACCAGAGGAGCUACGAAGGGAGGCAGUGGGGACUGGUGGGUCGAGACCUGGAAAUAACACAUGAAUAGGCAACAAAGGUUUCCUUUCCUCUUCCAUGCACUUCAGUCCUUGAAAAACGUCUUACCACGGAAUUCCACAGCGUACCAAGCGAUUCCACAGCUUGAUGGCACACUCUCCUUUCUCAGCAUUCUUGAAAAUGGCGUGUGAGCCAAGCCAUCUUACUGAGAAAUUACCUUAAACCAUUUGAUGAACCAAAAAUAUUUUGUAAUACCCAUCUCCGACAUUAGGUAGGCAAAUCACACAGAAACACCGAGGUCUUCUGAGUCAUAUUUAUCUGAAAAAUCACAGCUUGGGUGCAUGUGAAGCCAGAGGAGCACUCCUGGGGCCUGCGGUGCCAUCACUCAGCUCCCCUGGGCUUCACAUGGCCAUGGAGCACCCAGCAAGUGUAGGCUCUGAGCCUUCAGGGAGGGGCGGCAUCAGCCAGCACCAUCGUCUCCUGGGUCUUGUGCCUCUUCCUUGGUUGCGGUGUUGUCAGGGCCAGAAUUGGGCAAUUCCGGGUGACAUCCAGGUGUGGCUGCUGACACGGAGCACAGGUGAGGUUCACUGAGGUAAGUGGGCCAUGGCCUUGGGCUUCUAGUUCAGAGCACACCAUCCACUCAGCAUGUGAACCCAGCUCCAAAGCGUAUGUGUGCAUGUGUGUACCUGUGCACAUUGCGCAUGUCUCUGUGUAUGCAUGUGCUUUGAUGCAUGUUGAUGUACGGGUGUAUCUGUGUAUUGUGUAUGCACACACGAGCAUAUGUGUACAUGAAUUUGUAUUGCACAUGUGUUUAAUGCGAACACGUGUCAUGUGUAUGUGUUCACAUGCAUGUGUGUCUGUGUACUGUGUGCAACAGUGUGUGCAAGUGUGUAUAUGUGGGUUUAUGUUUGUACAGUGUGUGUAGUGUGUGUACACAUAUACACCUGUGUGCAUGUGUACAUGGUAUUUAAGCAUGUUUGCACGUGUGUUUGUGCUUGCAUGUGCUGCGUGUUUGUGUUGGUGGGAUGUGGGGAGGCUGCUGUGGAGACAAAAGCUGGAGAGAACUUGGUAGAGUAACCCAGGUCAGGAAAUGGCACCUGCAAAGGAAGGCUGGAGUGCCUGGGAUUCACGUUGAAAUGGCCAAUCCGUCAGCUGGGCUGGACACAGCCAUCACGCUGGGCAGCUGUGAGGUUAAAACAGAAAGUCUGGGCUGUGGGGAGGCUGAGAAUUGAGAUGCAUGUAUGAGAUGAGUCACGAGGGCCAAGUGGUGUGUGUGAGAAAGCAGGCACAGCACCACUAAACACUAAGGAGAUUUCAGGGGAGUUACGGGUGGAGGGAGGACAUCAGAUCUACCCUGGAAGUUAAACGUGUUUCGAGUGCAUUAAAUACUAUGGGCCACAGACGCCUUGUCUCCAUAUCUACUCUUUUAUAAAUGAAGUAAAGUUCUUGGGAAAUACUUUUCUCACUCUAAAGCUCACAAUCUAUCUUGCAAAAAAUAUUUUAAAUUCCAUCUCAAAUAAGCCAGGGUGAAAAGGGAGCCUGUGCACCAGACACUGCCAGCCUUGCCUGGCUCUCGCCUUCUUGCUCUUCCUUCCCCACCUGCUGGGGAUUUUCUUAACGAUGGAGAUGGGUUUGGGUUUGUCCUGCUGUGCUCUGCUCCCCAUUCCCGGAUCCAAGGUCCUGCCUCUGUCCUGUCCCCUGAGCCACCUCAGGGAUGCAGGGUCCCCCACCUGGUCAAGUGCCCAGUGCUGUGUUGUCAUUUGCAAGUUCUUCCUGUGACUGAACUCCAAAUGGCACUGGGACUGCUGACUCCACCCACUGGACAACCCGUGUUCUUGCUUUUGGGGUUUCUGAAACAGCCCCAAGACUCUGGGCAUCUUGAUUUUGCUCCCAUUGCUUCUCAGGACACCCUGCUCCUGUGGUUUGCAGCCCCGGCCUUCUCUUCGAGGACGCCUCUGCUCUUCUGCCUCACACUCGGAUUGGACCUUCUUCAGCACAGCCAGUGGCCGAGGCUUCCUCCCUGGGGCUCAGUGGAGCAGGACAGAUGCUGCAUCCAAACUCUUCCAUUGGGUUCCAGUCUGUUCCAGUCAUGCCCUUGAGCCUCUAAAGCUCCUAGGUGAGAGACGUAGCAGCUGACAGCACUUCCCACUUGAUUUGGGUGGACUCCAGCCUCCCCAGCAACAAUAAGAGAUCAAAAGCAUCGUUGAGGAAGCAGCUUGCUGAAACGCUGAGUGCCCGCCACUCUCAGGUCAGGUGGGACCGGCAGGCCAGCAUGAGUUCCUGAACACUUGGUUCUCAAUACUGGCCACAGCCACACUGUAAGGGGAAACAAGAGGGCACUGUAUGCAAACAUCUCUUGAACUCUGGAGUCUGCUCACCUUCCUGCCUCAAGCCCCUCUCCCACGUGGUCCAGUCACCAUUCUCCACAGAGACUACCCUAAAACCCAGCGACUCUCGUGUGCCUGCAGAAUGGCACAGCCCGUUCUCAUAGCAGCACUCCUGUUUAAUCAGAGGGAUGUUAACGACCAAGUCAUAUUUGCUCGAUUUGUGUUCAACAUAUUUCAUUUGUACCGAUAAAACUUAAAAAUAUCCCCACACAUGCAUUGCCUAUUAAAGAGUAUCUUCCAGGUACACCUCCCUUACACAUCAGUUAACUUGAUAAUUUCUUCCCAUUCUUGUGCAAUAAAUUUCCUUCCUGAUCAGCUCUGUCCAGCAGCAACAAUAAUCCACGUAGAGACAUGCAAACUAAAAGUCCGUUAGUGGAGGCACGAAGCUGAUGAGGCUUGGAAAAAAAUGACCGAUUUGAUUAAAAUUAGGACCCAUGGGAGUGGAGCUCUGCCUAUUUUAGAGGCAAAGUAAAUGCCUGGGAGUCCAAUCACCGACAUUCUGUUUGAGGUUUCUAAUCACAAGGAAGAUGGAGAAAAUGCAGAACAAGUGGUCAAGAACAGGGAGAUAAUAAAUAGAAUAUUUAUGGGCUGAGGAAAACAAUUACCAGGGGAAAGCCCAAGAAGCAAAGAUGAACAGAGAACGUGCUGACUGCGCUCGUUUGGAAAGGCCUCAUGGCCAAAGGAGGAGAGGCAUUAUGAGGAGCAGUGACCGAGUGGGCAGGACCCCCGGGGAUCAGGAAAGGUGCACGGGGGGAAAUGAGAGGCCUGAGCGGCUUCCCAGCGAAGGUUUUUGAAGCACGGUUUGAUUUUCUCUCUCCCCCUCACCAUCCCCAAAUUUUAGUUGUGACUAUCUCCAGGUACAUGGCUUGCGACAGGCGGUGUAUAAAAACUAAUGUCAGUUUAAUUUUAAAACCUUAGCCAUUUUCUGGAACUUAAAUAUCAAAGAGAAAAUGUCCACAUAUGAUGUUAAUUGAGGUUUGUCUCACUGGUGAUUUGUGCUGAUUCAAUUCCUGUUUCUUUUUUUUUUUCUUAAGGGGUCAGUUUUAGAAUUGGGAGAUAGGUGUAUAACAUAUGACUAUACAGCGCAGGUUGGUUUUUUAACAUAGAAAUAUCUGCCUUUAAAUGAGAACUGAAAACGGAGCUUCUUGGAGGCCACCUGCUGGUGGCAGUGAUCUGACCGCUGUUUAAGCUUUCUUUGAACUCCUUUUUUUAAAACAGCCUCCAUAAUCAAUGGUGUACGAUCUACUCUCGUGGUAAAACUUACUCAGUGAAGAGUGUGUUUUAUUUUCUGAGGAGCUGAACUGUUCCAACCUGAGUAUUCUGAAUAAGGACAGUGGUCGAGCAUGAGUGAUGCCAUCUGGGCUUAGAAAUAAGUGGGCCUAAAAUCUGAUUGUUUUCAUACAUUGUUCAGAUAUUGACGCAAAUAGCAAUUUAUUUUGUAAAAAAUGAUUGGUAUCCGGAACUUGCAACAGCUGUGUGUGGCUUGAAGGGAGAUGAAGUGGUGAAGGCCUGGUUUCCACCGAAGCUCUCACAGCCCAGCCUUUCACUGUGUGGCCGGGGGAAGGGUGCUCCGGGUGGGGGACGGGAAUGGUGGGACUGGGGAUGCCACGGGACAAGGCUGCUGGCCUGGAAGGUAGUCACGUGGAGAACCGCAGGAGAUGAGAUUGGAAAGUAGUAAUAAGCCAUGUGGAUAAGAACAGAGGAGCGGGUUUUAAGGGGGACGUCCUGAAAUGCUGCUCAUGUCGUUUCAGUUCCAUAGACCACAGGAAAUGCAGGUGAGAGGGCAGCCCGGUGGGAAGGAAGGAAGAGGGUGGUGGUGAGCCAGGUGAGUGUGGAGCCGCCCAGGGCACCGUGCUGUGCGAUAGCUCAGGCAUCGGGUGCUUCUGCCAAACCCUUCAGCAGCUGGUUUGGGGCCAAACGUCCUUCCUGUGUGAGAGAAGGCAGAGCCUAGGCAGCAUUCCAAACCCCAUCCAGAUGGGAGGCUGAGUGCAGAGCAAACGGAGCCCAGCACUCCAGAGCCGUGUCCCUUCACUGCCAUGAUCACAUCACAAACAGCGAGGCUUGGAGAGGACUUAAGAGCUCCUUCAAUGCCAUCUUCCAUCCACUGCGUGAGCCAGAAUAGAAAAAAAGGAAUAAGAAGAGGUCGGUUAAGCUCUCUAUUAAGUUGAGAAAAUGGGAACUUCAGGUGAUCAUGUGAGAUAUUCAAGUUAAAAAAAUUAUUUAAAAAGCACAUUCUUAUUAUUAAAAUUUUAGAAAGUACAGAGAAGGAAAUUUUAAUAACCUACACCUAGAACACUAAGAUACUGGUAACGUAGAAAAAUGUGUAGUUAAUGCCUUGAUGGAUUCUUUUCUAUUUUUUUCUCUAGCAAUAUUUAUGUCUAUCCACAGAAAGCGUACACUCAUGUAUUUGCAUGGCUAAUAUAUUUUAUGUAAAGUUCUAUAUAUUUCUCAACAUUUCACUUAAUAUUUCUUUAUAAACAUUUUUCCAGUGAAUAAAAAUUUUUCCAAACAGUAAUUUUAAUGACUAUAUAACAUUUCAUUGCAUUUAUAUAUCAUUUGUUAUUUAACUACUUCAUCAUUUUGGAUUCACAUAUUUUCAAUAAUUUCCAUUAUAAUAAUAAUGUCAUGAAUACCUUUGUAC
rnacentral:lncRNA from 10 species